rnacentral:rRNA from 4 species
UACGAAGGGGGCUAGCGUUGUUCGGAAUCACUGGGCGUAAAGCGCGUGUAGGCGGAUCGUUAAGUCGGGGGUGAAAUCCUGAGGCUCAACCUCAGAACUGCCUUCGAUACUGGCGAUCUUAGAGUCCGGGAGAGGUGAGUGGAACUCCUAGUGUAGAGGUGAAAUUCGUAGAUAUUAGGAAGAACACCAGUGGCGAAGGCGGCUCACUGGCCCGGUACUGACGCUGAUAUGCGAAAGCGUGGGGAGCAAACAGG